rnacentral:rRNA from 1 species
GACGAACGCUGGCGGCGUGCUUAACACAUGCAAGUCGAACGGUAAGGCCCUUCGGGGUACAAGAGUGGCGAACGCGUGAGUAACACGUGGGUGAUCUGCCCUGCACUUCGGGAUAAGUCUGGGAAACUGGGUCUAAUACCGGAUAGGAACCACCCCUGCCAGGGUGGUGGUGGAAAGCUUUUGCGGGUUGGGAUGGGCCCGCGGCCUAUCAGCUUGUUGGUGGGGUGAUGGCCUACCAAGGCGACGACGGGUAGCCGGCCUGAGAGGGUGACCGGCCACACUGGGACUGAGAUACGGCCCAGACUCCUACGGGAGGCAGCAGUGGGGAAUAUUGCACAAUGGGCGCAAGCCUGAUGCAGCGACGCCGCGUGAGGGAUGACGGCCUUCGGGUUGUAAACCUCUUUCAGCACCGACGAAGCGCAAGUGACGGUAGGUGCAGAAGAAGGACCGGCCAACUACGUGCCAGCCGCCGCCGUAA